CUUUAGGUAUGAUCCAGAGUACCACGGGACACGUGAAAACCUGUGGGAAGCAGGAGGGACCACCCUCCAAGGCUAAAUACUACCUAGUGACCGAUAGCGUAUAGUACCGUGAGGGAAAGGUGAAAAGAACCCCGGGAGGGGAGUGAAAUAGAACCUGAAACCCUGCACUUACAAGCUGUGGAAGCACAUUUCUUGUGUGACCGCGUACUUUUUGUAGAACGGGCCAACGAGUUACGUUAAGUAGCAAGGUUAAGCACUUAAGGUGUGGAGCCGUAGCGAAAGCGAGUUUUAACUGAGCGUUCAGUUACUUGACGUAGACCCGAAACCGGGCGACCUACCCAUGAGCAGGAUGAAGCGAAAGUAAAAUUUCGUGGAGGUCCGAACCCACGAGCGUUGAAAAGCUCGGGGAUGACUUGUGGGUAGCGGUGAAAUUCCAAUCGAGCCCGGAGAUAGCUGGUUCUCCCCGAAAUAGCUUUAGGGCUAGCCUCAAGGUGAGAGAUACGGAGGUAGAGCACUGAAUGUCCUAGGGGGUAUUGCACCUACCGAAGACUAUCAAACUCCGAAUGCCGUCAUCUUAUACUUGGGAGUCAGACUGUGGGUGAUAAGAUUCAUAGUCGAAAGGGCAACAGCCCAGAUCGUCAGCUAAGGUCCCUAAAUGUAAGUUAAGUGGUAAAGGAUGUGGGAUUGCACAGACAACCAGGAUGUUGGCUUAGAAGCAGCCACUCAUUCAAAGAGUGCGUAAUAGCUCACUGGUCGAGUGAUCCUGCGCCGAAGAUUUCCGGGGCUAAAACUUACUACCGAAGCUACGGCAUCAGUAAUGAUGGGUAGGGGAGCUUCCCAUACGGGUUGAAGCAUGACCGUAAGGACAUGUGGACAGUAUGGGAGUGAGAAUGUUGGCAUGAGUAGCGAGAUGUGGGUGAGAAUCCCACAGGCCGUAAACCCAAGGUUUCCAGGGGAAGGUUCGUCCGCCCUGGGUUAGUCGGGACCUAAGCUGAGGCCGAAAGGCGUAGGUGAUGGACAACAGGUUGAUAUUCCUGUACUACCGAUAACCGUUUGAGAGAAGGGAUGACACAGUAGGAUAAGCUAAGCACACUGUUGGUUAUGUGUGCCCAAGCAUUGAGGCAGUCAAAGUAGGCAAAUUCGCUUUGAUAAUGCUGGGAUGUGAUGGGGAGCGAAAUUUAGUAGCGAAGUAGCUGAUUUCACACUGUCAAGAAAAGUCUCUAUCGAGGUUAAAGGUACCCGUACCGCAAACCGACACAGGUGGGUGAGGAGAGUAUCCUAAGGCCAGCGAGAGAACUGUUGUUAAGGAACUCGGCAAAAUGACCCCGUAACUUAGGGAUAAGGGGUGCCACCAUCAGGUGGCCGCAGAGAAUAGGCCCAAGCGACUGUUUACCAAAAACAUAGGUUUCUGCUAAGUCGCAAGACGAUGUAUAGGAGCUGACGCCUGCCCGGUGCUGGAAGGUUAAGGGGAUCUGUUAGAGCAAUCGAAGCAGUGAACUUAAGCCCCAGUAAACGGCGGCCGUAACUAUAACGGUCCUAAGGUAGCGAAAUUCCUUGUCGGGUAAGUUCCGACCCGCACGAAAGGCGUAACGAUUUGGGCACUGUCUCAACAACAGACUCGGUGAAAUUGUAAUUCCGGUGAAGAUGCCGGAUACCUGCGACAGGACGGAAAGACCCCAUGGAGCUUUACUGUAGCUUGACAUUGGGUCUUGGUACUACAUGUACAGGAUAGGUGGGAGGCUUUGAAACCAGGACGCCAGUUUUGGCGGAGCCAUCCUUGGGAUACCACCCUUGUAGUACUGGGACUCUAACCAUAGGCCAUGAAUCUGGUCUUGGGACACUGUCAGGUGGGCAGUUUGACUGGGGCGGUCGCCUCCCAAAAGGUAACGGAGGCGCUCAAAGGUUCUCUCAGUACGGUCGGAAAUCGUACGUAGAGUGUAAAGGCAAAAGAGAGCUUGAUUGCAAGACAUACAGGUCGAGCAAGGAUGAAAAUCGGACUUAGUGAUCCGGUGGUUCUGCGUGGAAGGGCAAUCGCUCAACGGAUAAAAGCUACCCUGGGGAUAACAGGCUUAUCUCCCCCAAGAGUCCACAUCGACGGGGAGGUUUGGCACCUCGAUGUCGGCUCAUCACAUCCUGGGGCUGUAGUAGGUCCCAAGGGUUGGGCUGUUCGCCCAUUAAAGUGGUACGCGAGCUGGGUUCAGAACGUCGUGAGACAGUUCGGUCCCUAUCCGUCGCAGGCGUAGGAAAUUUGAGAAGACCUGUCCUUAGUACGAGAGGACCGGGAUGGACGUACCUCUGGUGUACCAGUUGUUCUGCCAAGGGCAUGGCUGGGUAGCUAUGUACGGAAUGGAUAAGCGCUGAAAGCAUCUAAGCGCGAAGCCAACUUCAAGAUAAGAUUUCCCACCGCAAGGGUAAGACCCCAGAAAGACUAUCUGGUUGAUAGGUCGAAGGUGUAAGUGCAGCAAUGUAUUUAGCUUAUCGAUACUAAUAGGUCGAGGACUUGACCAA
rnacentral:rRNA from 1 species